UACAGAGGUCUCAAGCGUUGUUCGGAUUCAUUGGGCGUAAAGGGUGCGUAGGCGGCGCGGUAAGUCGGGUGUGAAAUCUUGGAGCUUAACUCCGAAACUGCAUUCGAUACUGCCGUGCUUGAGGACUGGAAAGGAGACUGGAAUUUACGGUGUAGCGGUGAAAUGCGUAGAUAUCGUAAGGAAGACCAGUGGCGAAGGCGGGUCUCUGGACUAACACUGACACUGAGACUCGAAAGCGUGGGGAGCAAACAGG
rnacentral:rRNA from 1 species